UCCUUUUGGUGGCUCUCCUGCUUCCUGCACUAAGAUCAGACUGUCAGAAUGCUGGCAGAGGAGACUGGGUCAGACUAUGACAGAUGCAGAUUGUGAAGGGGACAAUAAAGACUUUGGACUUUAUUCCUGACUAUUCUCGUGGUGAUUAUUCUGCUGAGAUCAAGGCUGGUCUCAAAGCCCUCCAGAAAGCCAGUGGAACAUUACAUUGGUUGGUUGUUAUCCUUAGUUCUAGAAGAAGAAUGAAAUGACAUCACUAUGUUAGAAUGGAGUUACAGUAUUCGACUGUUGCUGAUGAGACCAAUAAAAGCUUGGAGUUCUCUGCCACAGGAAUAAACCUACUGCAUAAAUUAGGAUUGAGAAGGAAUAGCCUACCCUGUCAACUAUAACACUCAUCAGAUAUAAUCAGCUAUGUUCUUCCAGUCAUUUGGAAACAGCUCCAUGGAGUGGCAAUCCUAAGGUGGCAGGUCUACCUAUGUAUUUUGCGCUAAUCCUAGAAUUAUUGUUUUGACCUGAGCACCUGCUGAGUAAAUUCCUCGUCCUGGGUUUGGGAUGCAGAACUGGGAAGAGUCAGGAUAUGGCUACUUGAAAGUGUCAGCUACAUCACAGAAUGUGUGUGACUUUAAGGGAAGGUGGUAAAAAGAAAGAAGAUUGGAAAUCUAAGGAAGGAUCAGAUGAAGAAAUUGAGGCAAAAAGUUAAGUGAUUUACUCAGAUGAACACAGCCACAAUAAAGUCAAUGGAAGCAGAUCCAAAUACGAAAAUCCUAUGACAAUGUGACCUUCAAAAUGAAAAAUAAACUACUUACAGAG